rnacentral:rRNA from 1 species
GACGAACGCUGGCGGCGUGCCUAACACAUGCAAGUCGAACGGGGAUGUGUGGAAACCUUCGGGUGGAAACACAUUCUAGUGGCGGACGGGUGAGUAACGCGUGAGGAACCUGCCUCGAACUGGGGGAUAACAACGAGAAAUCGUUGCUAAUACCGCAUAAGACCACAUGGCCGCAUGGCCGAGGGGUCAAAGAUUUAUCGGUUUGAGAUGGCCUCGCGUCUGAUUAGCUAGUUGGUGAGGUAACGGCUCACCAAGGCAACGAUCAGUAGCCGAGCUGAGAGGCUGAUCGGCCACACUGGGACUGAGACACGGCCCAGACUCCUACGGGAGGCAGCAGUGGGGAAUAUUGGGCAAUGGGGCAACCCUGACCCAGCAACGCGCGUGAAGGAAGAAGGUCUUCGGAUUGUAAACUUCUGUCCUUGGGGACGAAACAAAUGACGGUACCCGAGGAGGAAGCCCCGGCUAACUACGUG